AAAUUGAAGAGUUUGAUCAUGGCUCAGAUUGAACGCUGGCGGCAGGCCUAACACAUGCAAGUCGAACGGUAACAGGAAGAAGCUUGCUUCUUUGCUGACGAGUGGCGGACGGGUGAGUAAUGUCUGGGAAACUGCCUGAUGGAGGGGGAUAACUACUGGAAACGGUAGCUAAUACCGCAUAACGUCGCAAGACCAAAGAGGGGGACCUUCGGGCCUCUUGCCAUCGGAUGUGCCCAGAUGGGAUUAGCUUGUUGGUGGGGUAACGGCUCACCAAGGCGACGAUCCCUAGCUG
rnacentral:rRNA from 1 species